rnacentral:misc_RNA from 1 species
GAUGAAGAACGCAGCGAAAUGCGAUAAGUAGUGUGAAUUGCAGAAUUCAGUGAAUCAUCGAAUCUUUGAACGCACAUUGCGCCCCUUGGUAUUCCAUGGGGCAUGCCUGUUCGAGCGUCAUUUCAACCCUCAAGCCCUGCUUGGUGUUGGGCGUUUGUCCUGCCUCCGCGCGGGACUCGCCUCAAAGACAUUGGCGGCCGGUUUCCCUUUGCAGGCCACGAGCGCAGCACAGCGAGCGCUCUACGUGGACGCGGGGUCGGCGCACCAGAAGCCCUCUUUCUCGAAUUUUGACCUCGGAUCAGGUAGGGAUACCCGCUGAACUUAAGCAUAUCAAUAAGCGGAGGA